CUCCUCCUGGAGGGCAAGCCCCCCUCACCCUCAGUGCCCACCCCCAACAACGUUACCGUCCCCAAGUAGCCUCCUCUCUCCCUCCCCUCCCCUCCCCCAUGCCUGGCUUGCUCUGCUCCUGUGCUCCAUGGUGAUGUACUAUGAUCAAUUUCACUUCUUUGCUGGUCUUAUACAUUGUGUUGUAUUCUAUUGUACCAGUUUGUAUUUCUGCCAAGAGUGAUUCCCCCAUACGGGGAAAGAAAAGCUUGCACCGAAUUAUGGAUGUAUAUGGGAAUGAUGAAAUAAACCUGAAUUGACAUUGGAGUGUCAUCAAGGAAAGAUCAGGAGCAAAAUUGGCCUGGCUUGUCUGCUGACAGUGAGGAUAUCUCGUGGAUGAUUUCAUGUCUUAGAUCAAAAUCAGUGGGCUUUCUAACAUUGGGAUUUGAAAGUCCUUGUCGCCCCAAAUAUUUCGUCAGUGACCCCUCUGUUGUUGCGAGAGCGACAUCGGACGAGGUUAGGUGACCAUCUGCUAAUCCACCUGUGCUCCUCUGUUCAUUCGGUUGGUAAUUUGGUUGGUAAGUUG
rnacentral:lncRNA from 1 species